rnacentral:rRNA from 1 species
GACGAACGCUGGCGGCGUGCUUAACACAUGCAAGUCGAACGGAAAGGCCCUGCUUUUGUGGGGUGCUCGAGUGGCGAACGGGUGAGUAACACGUGAGUAACCUGCCCUUGACUUUGGGAUAACUUCAGGAAACUGGGGCUAAUACCGGAUAGGAGCUCCUGCUGCAUGGUGGGGGUUGGAAAGUUUCGGCGGUUGGGGAUGGACUCGCGGCUUAUCAGCUUGUUGGUGGGGUAGUGGCUUACCAAGGCUUUGACGGGUAGCCGGCCUGAGAGGGGGACCGGCCAAAUUGGGACUGAGAUACGGCCCAGACUCCUACGGGAGGAAGAAGUGGGGAAUAUUGCACAAUGGGCGGAAGCCUGAUGCAGCAACGCCGCGUGCGGGAUGACGGCCUUCGGGUUGUAAACCGCUUUCGCAUGUGACGAAGCGUGAGUGACGGUAAUGGGUAAAGAAGCACCGGCUAACUACGUG